CAAAACUCAAAUAUAAAAAGAAUAUAAAAAAUGGGAAUAUAUUUUAUCCAAAUAAGAAUUAUAAAAAAUGUUGCAAUCUUAUGGUUGUUUCUCAAUUUAUAAAUGAGUUACUUAUUGUUACAAUAGUUAAGAAGUGGCUUACUACAUCUUACACACUCUUAAUGUAUUUUCUUACACUCUAAUGUAUUUUCUUACUGCACAGGCCAAUUUUGGGCCCAAUUCAAGGCCCAUUUGCAUUACAAACCCUCAACCCAAUUACCCUUUUUAAAACAGCCCAAAUACCCACCUAAAUUAACCAAGCAAAGGCCCAAACCCAUACAAUUAGCAAACCCUAACCAAACCUACCCCCCACUUGAGCCACCAACCCUCUGACGGCCCCAUGCCCCUGACUGCCGGCCACCUGCUCCACCAACACCAGCCAUGCCCUGCAAAAUGAGAAAGACACGCAACAGCAACAAAGAGAACAAACAGACAGUGAAAACAGGCUAUAAAAGCCAUGAAACAAAACGUAAAAAGGGUUUUUUUUUUCUUUUCUUUAAAAAGUUCAAAAAUAUAUAAAAAUCAUAGCACAAAAACAAGUAUUUUGAAGCACAACCAAGAUCAGAAAAUCAAAGAUAUCAAAAUCAAAAAAACUGGAAAACUAAAGGUGAUUAUUUUUCUUUUUUUUCAUUUUAGUUUCGGCCUUAGGCCUAUUUUAUACAUACAUAUAUAUUAAAAAUAUAACAGAGUAUUAAAAUAAACAACAAGAAAAACCGAGAAAAAAAUUUACCUUUUUGAAAAUCCGACAACCGUGCACGGUGGCCGGCGCCGGCGACGGGCCGACGAUCGGCCGGUGACCGGCACCCCGCCGGAAUCCCUCCCCUCUCCCUCAUCUCUCUUUUUCUCUCUUUCUUUUUUUUUUUCUUUUUCCCUCACAAA
rnacentral:lncRNA from 1 species